rnacentral:rRNA from 1 species
GACGAACGCUGGCGGCGUGCUUAACACAUGCAAGUCGAACGGAAAGGCCCUGCUUUUGUGGGGUGCUCGAGUGGCGAACGGGUGAGUAACACGUGAGUAACCUGCCCUUGACUUUGGGAUAACUUCAGGAAACUGGGGCUAAUACCGGAUAGGAGCUCCUGCUGCAUGGUGGGGGUUGGAAAGUUUCGGCGGUUGGGGAUGGACUCGCGGCUUAUCAGCUUGUUGGUGGGGUAGUGGCUUACCAAGGCUUUGACGGGUAGCCGGCCUGAGAGGGUGACCGGCCACAUUGGGACUGAGAUACGGCCCAGACUCCUACGGGAGGCAGCAGUGGGGAAUAUUGCACAAUGGGCGGAGGCCUGAUGCAGCAACGCCGCGUGCGGGAUGACGGCCUUCGGGUUGUAAACCGCUUUCGCCUGUAACGAAGCGUGAGUGACGGUAAUGGGUAAAGAAGCACCGGCUAACUACGUG